rnacentral:rRNA from 1 species
CCUACGGGAGGCAGCAGUGGGGAAUUUUGGACAAUGGGCGCAAGCCUGAUCCAGCAAUGCCGCGUGAGUGAAGAAGGCCUUCGGGUUGUAAAGCUCUUUUGUCAGGGAAGAAACGGUGAGAGCUAAUAUCUCUUGCUAAUGACGGUACCUGAAGAAUAAGCACCGGCUAACUACGUGCCAGCAGCCGCGGUAAUACGUAGGGUGCAAGCGUUAAUCGGAAUUACUGGGCGUAAAGCGUGCGCAGGCGGUUUUGUAAGUCUGUCGUGAAAUCCCCGGGCUCAACCUGGGAAUUGCGAUGGAGACUGCAAGGCUAGAAUCUGGCAGAGGGGGGUAGAAUUCCACGUGUAGCAGUGAAAUGCGUAGAGAUGUGGAGGAACACCGAUGGCGAAGGCAGCCCCCUGGGUCAAGAUUGACGCUCAUGCACGAAAGCGUGGGGAGCAAACAGGAUUAGAUACCCUGGUAGUCCACGCCCUAAACGAUGUCUACUAGUUGUCGGGUUUUAAUUAACUUGGUAACGCAGCUAACGCGUGAAGUAGACCGCCUGGGGGAGGUACGGUCGCGAGAAGUAAACUUAAACGAAAGUAAGUAGACGNGNGAGAGACGACGACGACGACGACGGAGGGAGGAGG